UCUUUUUUUAAUUUUCUUUUCCUGCUUACUCUACGUUUGCAACUUAAUUUAGCUUUUUUUUUUUUAAAUGCUUUGCAAUAACUCAAGAUUCAUUGGGUUUUUGUGGAAAAUUUAAAGUAUUGCAUUGGCAUUGUAGAGCAAGGAAUUUGAAGCGUUGGGAUUUACCAACUUCUUGGUUAUUAUUAUAGAUAACACGGAAAGCGAUGUAAAUUGAGGGUCUUUGAGAGGGAAGGGACUACUCUGAAAUUGAUUACUGAGAAGUGAUUGCAACAGUUACUUCUGGAUGAAAGGAAGUUUUUGUUUGAUCGUAGAGUUUUUGCAAAAUUUCUGGAUGGCCUUUACUAUGGAAGUUAAAGCUGAAAUUUUUUAAUUAAAAUUGAAUUAUGGAACUGAGCUUAUGCAUUUGAUUCAGUUUGGUGUACUUUGAAAUUUGAUUCGAUUCUGUUUAGGUUUUCAAAAUUUUCAAGUUCUUUAUUUGGUUCUCAGAAACAUAAUUAACUCAAUUUAUUCAAAAUUAUUUUUCUUGACAAAUUUAUUACCGCUUAGUGUUUAUUGUAUACCUAAAACUAUAAGCUUCUCAUUUGUAUUUAACAUAAAUUCAAAACACAAAAUGCCUAACCUAAAAAGACCCCAAGAUCACAUACAUCAGGAAGAUUGAAAGCAAUAUAGGUUUGUGUUGGUUUUUUUUUUUUUUGGAGCAAUGUGUUGGUGCUUGGUUUACACAGGCUUUUUUCUAUUAUUUUAGAUUUUUAGUUUUUUUUUCUGGGCCUCCUUUAUUAUGCAAUUAGUUAAAUGGUUGUGCA
rnacentral:misc_RNA from 1 species